CGGUGGGGACAUUGGACGUCAACCAUUGGUCAUCGUAGCGAUACGUCGUAUCACCAUCAAUAUAAUUUAUAGUGUGUACGUUUACACCUGGUAGUUUUUCUUUUUAUCGUCGAGAGAUUUACGUGACGUGUUACAAACGUUAAAGCGAUAUUAUAUUGCUAUCUUAGGGUUCCGUUAGGUCGACGUCGUAGGCCAAUAUUUUGAUUAUUCAAAUUAUGUAAAUUAACCCAUAACCGCACCAUGCUCCCGGAGUAAAUGUUCGAUUUAUGUACUACCCGAAACAACAAUAAUGGCCGGCCAAAAGUUUCAGUACGAUGAAAGCGGAGCUACGUUUUUCUAUUUUUUAUUGUCGUUUCUGGCUCUUCUGCUGGUACCCGGCACGUAUUACUGGUGGCCGAGAAAACAAAAAGAAGAUCCAAAAGCGUUGGCAUCUGAAUGUUAUUGUCCAGGAUGCCGAAAAAAAAAGCUUGUCCUGCAGUCCACUAAACCGUGGGAACUGAUGAAAAGAACAUGCAUAAAAGUCAUCAUUAUUGGUGGAUGGGUGUUAUUGGCUUUUCUUGCCUACAAAGUAUCCCAGUUUGAUUAUGAGAGUGCAAGUUUUGAUCCAUAUGACAUUCUCAAUGUUCCAAUUGGAACUAGUGAAAAAGUAAUUAAAAAAGCUUAUAGAAGGUUGUCAUUAAUUUACCAUCCAGAUAAGGAAACUGGAGAUGAAAAAAAAUUUAUGAAGCUUACUAAAGCUUAUCAAGCCUUAACUGAUGAUGAGUCCAGAAAAAAUUGGGAAAAAUAUGGAAAUCCAGAUGGACCUGGUGCAAUGAGUUUUGGAAUAGCAUUACCAUCAUGGAUUGUAGAAAAAGAAAAUUCAGUUUGGGUUUUAGGUCUAUAUGCAUUAGUUUUUAUGAUUGCACUUCCUACUACAGUUGGUAUGUGGUGGUAUAAAUCUAUCAGAUAUUCUGGUGAUAAGGUUUUAUUAGAGACCUCUAGAAUGUAUUAUUAUUUUUUACAUAAGUCAAAUUCUAUACCUUUGAAACGAGUUAUAAUGAUUUUAAGUGCUUCAUUAGAGUUUGAAAAAAAGUAUAAUAGUGAAAUUGUUGAACGAUCUUCAGAUGAAUAUGAAAUGCCUCAACUUAUAAAACAACUUUAUAAUUUUGGAGAAAAGGCACAAAAAGAACCACCACUGUCUUAUAAUUAUUCAAUUAAAGCUAGAGCUUUGAUACAUGCACAUCUGUCUCGCCUGGUACUUAAGGCAGAUACAUUAGAUUUAGAUCGUAUGUACAUAGUUAAGAAAUGUCCAUAUUUAAUACAAGAAAUGGUUGGUGUUGUUUCUCAACUAAUUUUACUAGCAUAUGCUCAAAGAGUGCCUCGUUUGCUUAAUAUUGAAACUAUAGAAAACUGUAUGAAACUUUGUCCCAUGGUGGUCCAAGCAUUAUGGGAGUAUAAAAGUCCAUUUAUGCAAUUACCAUACAUUACUGAGGAUCACAUAAAACAUUUUGACAAUAAAAAGAAACGUGUUAGGAGUAUUCAGCACCUUGCUCAAUUAAAAAAUGAAGACAGGCGAAGCACGUUAAAAUUUUUAUCUGAUAGUCAGUAUGAAGAUUUAGUUAAAGUAUUGGGUAGAAUGCCCUAUAUAGACUUUAAAGUUCGUUGUGAAGUUAUUGAUGAUGAAGCUACAACAGUCUAUACAGCUGGAGCUAUAGUAACCGUAACUGUACAGUUGAAAAGACGAGAUAUGAGGGUAUUGUUUGGAGAUGAUUCAUAUGCAGAUAAACAUCAUAUUGAGCCAGAAAAAAAUGCUGCUAAAGAAACAGAAAAACCAGAUAAGUUAGAGAAACCUAUGUCUAAUGAAGAUGUUAUAGAAAAUAGUGAAAAUGUUGAAAAUAAAGAAUUAAAAGACGAUGAAAAAGAAAAGAAAGCAACUAAGGGUAUUUGGCAGCAAAAGCGCCAAUCAGGAAAAGGUAAAAAAAGUGGAAAUGUCAAAAAACAAAAAGCUACUUUAUCAGCAUCAGCUAAGAAAAAAAUUAAAAAGAAAGAAAAAUUAGAAAAAGCAAAAUUAGGAGAUUCAGAAAUUAAAGAAACUGAAGAUGAUAAAACUGAAGAUAAAGAAAAAUUAAAAGAUAAUAAUGUUUCAUCAGAUGAUGACUCUGAUUCAGAUAAUGAAAGUUCUAGUGAUGCUUCUGGUGACGAAUCAGAGAAAACAGAUGCUGAAGAAACAACAGAUGAUAAAAAAAAGGUUUCAGCAAAUAAUGAUGACGAUGAUGACGAUGAUUGGGAUAAAUUUCAAUCUGGAGCCAAUAAAAAAGAUAGAGUACUUGAAGGCAGAACUAAACAAUCACAUUUGGUCCACUCUCCAUAUUUUCCUGAAGAAAAACACGAAUAUUGGUGGGUUUAUUUAAGUGAUCGGAAAAGUCGUACAUUAUUGACUGUUCCAUAUCAUGUUACUGAACUUGUUGAUGAAGAAGAAAUUCAAUUAAAAUUUACAGCUCCUAGGUGGCCUGGAGUUUAUGUUUUUGCCGUUUGUCUGAGAUCGGAUUCAUACUUUGGUUUUGACCAAAUGCAUGAUAUCAAAUUGGAUGUAAAAGAAGCACCAGAACCUUUAACAGAACAUCCUCAGUGGGAUAUUUCUGAUGAAGAAGAUGACACUAAAGAAGAAGAUAAGCAAAGUGAUAUUUCAGAAUUUACUACAGAUGAAGAUGUCGAAGAUUAAAUAAUACUAACAUAUAAAACCUUUGGGUGACCUGAAAAACAAAGAAGUUCAAAACAAUAACUAGAGUUUAAAGAAUCAAAUAUCACAUUUCAAUAAUAAUCAUAAUCAUAUAUGUGAAAUAAGUCAGUUAUAGCAGAAGAAAAUUAUUAUUUAAUACACAGAAAUGAGAAAUUAAUUAAAAAAAUUAUUUGGAAACAUACCUCAGAUUCAUCACCUUUUUCGAUUUUCUGUACAGAAUCAUCAGUAACUGCAAAAUAAUAUGUAAUAAUUUUAAUGUAAUAUAAUAUUUAGUUAAUAAGUGUGUUUCAAAUUGUUUAAAUGGUUGCUUAUUUUGAUAUAUAUAUAAAAUAUAUUAUGAUUUUUGGUACUGAAAUAAAUUGAUUAACUAAAUGUA